UCCGGUUGAUCCUGCCGGACCCUACUGCUAUCGGGAUGGGACUAAGACAUGCUAGUCGUGCGCUUCUAAGCCAUGGUGGAGGCGCGGCGCACAGCUCAGUAACACGUGGUUAACCUGCCCUUGGGACGGAAACACCCCCGGGAAACUGGGGCUAAUUUCCGAUAGGUGAAGACUCCUGGAAUGGAUCUUCGCCUAAAGGGCGCUUAGGCCAUGCUUCUAGGCGCUGCCCAAGGAUGGGACCGCGGCCGAUCAGGUUGUUGGUGAGGUAAUGGCUCACCAAGCCUUUAACCGGUUCGGGCCGUGGGAGCGGGAGCCCGGAGAUGGGUACUGAGACAAGGGCCCAGGUCCUACGGGGCGCAGCAGUCGCGAAAACUCCGCAAUACGCGAAGGCGUGACGGGGCUAUCCCGAGUGCCGUCCGCUGAGGAUGGCUUUUCCCCAGUGUAGAUAGCUGGGGGAAUAAGGAGAGGGCAAGUCUGGUGUCAGCCGCCGCGGUAAUACCAGCUCUCCGAGUGGUGGGGACGUUUAUUGGGCCUGAAGCAUCCGUAGCCAGCUGAGCAAGUCCCCAGUUAAAUCCAGCGAUUUAAUCGUUGGACUGCUGGGGAUACUGUCC
rnacentral:rRNA from 1 species